rnacentral:rRNA from 1 species
CCUAACACAUGCAAGUCGAGCGAGAAAUCACACUUCGGUGUGAGAGUAGAGCGGCGCACGGGUGAGUAACGCGUGGAUAAUCUGCCCAUGGAUUUGGGAUAACCCUGCGAAAGCGGGGCUAAUACCGGAUAGUCUGGCCAUUAUAUAAGUGGUCGGUAAAGGUAGCCUCUGAUACAAGCUACUGUCCAUGGAUGAGUCCGCGUCUCAUUAGCUUGUUGGUGGGGUAAGAGCCUACCAAGGCAACGAUGAGUAGCUGGUCUGAGAGGAUGAUCAGCCACACUGGGACUGAAACACGGCCCAGACUCCUACGGGAGGCAGCAGUGGGGAAUAUUGGGCAAUGGGCGCAAGCCUGACCCAGCAACGCCGUGUGAGGGAAGAAGGUUUUCGGAUCGUAAACCUCUGUCAGAAGGGAAGAAGUGGCAUGAUUUUAAUAGAAUCAUGCUUUGACGGUACCUUCAGAGGAAGCACCGGCUAACUCCGUGCCAGCAGCCGCGGUAAUACGGAGGGUGCGAGCGUUAUUCGGAAUUACUGGGCGUAAAGCGCGCGUAGGUUGCGUGGUAAGUCAGAUGUGAAAGCCCCCGGCUCAACCGGGGAACCGCAUUUGAAACUGCCAUGCUUGAGUACGACAGAGGGUGGCGGAAUUCCCGGUGUAGGAGUGAAAUCCGUAGAUAUCGGGAGGAAUACCAGUGGCGAAGGCGGCCACCUGGGUCGAUACUGACGCUGAGGUGCGAAAGCGUGGGUAGCAAACAGGAUUAGAUACCCUGGUAGUCCACGCCGUAAACGAUGGAUGCUAGGUGUUGGAUGCAAGACAUUCAGUGCCGCAGUUAACGCGAUAAGCAUCCCGCCUGGGGACUACGGUCGCAAGGCUGAAACUCAAAGGAAUUGACGGGGGCCCGCACAAGCGGUGGAGUAUGUGGUUUAAUUCGAUGCAACGCGAAGAACCUUACCUGGACUUGACAUCCCGCGAAUACUUUUGAAACGAAGUGGUGCCCUUCGGGGAACGCGGUGACAGGUGCUGCAUGGCAGUCGUCAGCUCGUGCCGUGAGGUGUUGGGUUAAGUCCCGCAACGAGCGCAACCCCUAUACUUAGUUGCCAUCAGGUAAUGCUGGGCACUCUAGGGAGACUGCCCGGGUCAACCGGGAGGAAGGUGGGGACGACGUCAAGUCAUCAUGGCCCUUACGUCCAGGGCUACACACGUACUACAAUGGUGGGAACAGAGGGUGGCGAAACCGUGAGGUCAAGCAAAUCCCAAAAAACCUAUCACAGUUCGGAUUGCAGUCUGCAACUCGACUGCAUGAAGCUGGAAUCGCUAGUAAUCGCGGAACAGCAUGCCGCGGUGAAUACGUUCCCGGGCAUUGUACACACCGCCCGUCACACCACGAAAGUCGGUUCUACCCGAAGUCAGUGAGCUAACCUUAUGGAAGCAGCUGCCGACGGUAGGGCUGGUAAUUGGGGUGAAGUC